AUACAGAGGUCUCAAGCGUUGUUCGGAAUCACUGGGCGUAAAGGGUGCGUAGGCCGCACGGUAAGUCAGAGGUGAAAUCCCGGAGCUCAACUCCGGAAUGGCCUCCGAUACUGCCGUGCUCGAGGACUGGAGAGGAGUCUGGAAUUCACAGUGGAGCAGUGAAAUGCGUAGAUAUUGUGAGGAACACUAGUGGCGAAGGCGAGACUCUGGACAGUUCCUGACGCUGAGGCACGAAGGCCAGGGGAGCAAACG
rnacentral:rRNA from 1 species